UGCUGCUGCCACGGCAGAGCCGCCUGA
rnacentral:piRNA from 1 species